rnacentral:lncRNA from 1 species
AGGGCUAUCCAGGACCCCCAGGAGGCCCUGGACCUGUGGGGCCAGAGGGAUUACCUGGAUCUUCAGGGCCACGAGGACCAUCAGGGCCGCAGGGACCUAAGGGAAGAAGGGGGCCAAGAGGUCCAGAUGGUCCUCCGGGAGAACUGGGAACAGAAGGCAUUAAGGUGAGUGCUUGCAUUACUCAGUACUGUACAAAGCACUGAGGUAGAAACAGAUAAAAGAAAACAAAC